rnacentral:rRNA from 1 species
UGGGGAAUAUUGCACAAUGGGCGCAAGCCUGAUGCAGCCAUGCCGCGUGUAUGAAGAAGGCCUUCGGGUUGUAAAGUACUUUCAGCGGGGAGGAAGGGAGUAAAGUUAAUACCUUUGCUCAUUUACGUUACCCGCAGAAGAAGCACCGGCUAACUCCGUGCCAGCAGCCGCGGUAAUACGGAGGGUGCAAGCGUUAAUCGGAAUUACUGGGCGUAAAGCGCACGCAGGCGGUUUGUUAAGUCAGAUGUGAAAUCCCCGGGCUCAACCUGGGAACUGCAUCUGAUACUGGAAAGCUUGAGUCUCGUAGAGGGGGGUAGAAUUCCAGGUGUAGCGGUGAAAUGCGUAGAGAUCUGGAGGAAUACCGGUGGCGAAGGCGGCCCCCUGGACAAAGACUGACGCUCAGGUGCGAAAGCGUGGGGAGCAAACAGG